rnacentral:rRNA from 1 species
CCUACGGGAGGCAGCAGUGGGGAAUAUUGGACAAUGGGGGGAACCCUGAUCCAGCCAUGCCGCGUGUGUGAAGAAGGCCCUCGGGUUGUAAAGCACUUUCAGUGAGGAAGAACGCCUGGUGGUUAAUACCCAUCAGGAAAGACAUCACUCACAGAAGAAGCACCGGCUAACUCCGUGCCAGCAGCCGCGGUAAUACGGAGGGUGCGAGCGUUAAUCGGAAUUACUGGGCGUAAAGCGCGCGUAGGUGGCUUGAUAAGCCGGUUGUGAAAGCCCCGGGCUCAACCUGGGAACGGCAUCCGGAACUAUCAAGCUAGAGUGCAGGAGAGGAAGGUAGAAUUCCCGGUGUAGCGGUGAAAUGCGUAGAGAUCGGGAGGAAUACCAGUGGCGAAGGCGGCCUUCUGGACUGACACUGACACUGAGGUGCGAAAGCGUGGGUAGCAAACAGGAUUAGAUACCCUAGUAGUC